UUGACCGCGUCAACUCACAUAGGACAGGGAAGAUGAAACUGUAAAGUAAGAAGUUACGGCAGGGGCCUUUAGGGGAGAAGGGGAGAGGCAGCUGCAUCGAGGAGGCGAUAAGAUUCCAAGACACCAAUCUGCAAAGAAUAGGCCCACUGUAUUUUGAAAACCGAGUUUCAGAUUAUCGAAAUAGGGCGAAAUAAGGCAAAUCCUUUGAAGUAUUGGCUACCGGAAGCAAGGAGUAGACUCAGGUUUUGUGACCAGUUUCAGGCUGUGUAUCUAUUAAAUUUAUAGGGCUGCUCCAACUGCGCUGUCGAAGAGACAUGCUGAUGGUUCAUUGCCAAUUGAAGAUUUCAGUACUUGGAAAUCAGAGUGGGAAGAAAGUACAAAUGGGAUCAGAGACUGAUCAGCGGGCAAUCAUGAUGAGCCUGAUGUUACAUACCAAUGCAAAGCAACUGAUUAAAGCACAAAAUUACUAAGAUGCAAUGGAAGUGCUCAGCAUGGAGGAGGAGGCUUUCUCUCUCUGCGAUCCAUCGGUUAUUAAGCUGGUCGAUAAUCCUUCUAUACUGCAAAUCGAUAUGGUUUGGUGUUAUUUCAUGCUUAGAGACAUAAACUAGCUCUCAGUGGCAGGAAUUCGCCUUGAGAAAGCCAGAGAGGGUCUUGAACGAGCUCAUGGAAAGGACUCUUCUCGUGUUAGACUCCUUCAGGCAGAUAUUUGAUACUGGAGCUGCUGGAAGGGGUGGCGGCGUAUCACAGUGGUCAGUUUGAUAAGUCAAUGACGGUGUUGACUUCUGCACAAGAGAAGUUCACCCAGGUGCUGGAUGAAUUUUUGGUUGUGGAUUCCAGCUUCAGGUGCUGGAUGAAUCUCUCUUUCUUGUGAUGAUCAUGGGCUUCAGAGAACGAGAUACAAAAAGGGCACUGGGGAUGAGCAAUCAAGAUGUUUCCAUCAGCCCUGUAUAGUCGUUAGUCAUCCCAAGAGUUUCUUGACUUUGCAGGUUUGAAAAGGAGCUUGCUGCUGAAGCACUAUGAGGCAAUGACAGUGGAGAAGGCAUUGGAUUUGACCAUUUCUUCCAUACAGGUGACUUGAACAUUUUUGUUUGAACACUAUUUGAAUUUUAUUUAGAGAAUGAACACUAUUAAAUUUAUUUACUUGCAGCAGCAUCUUGAAUCAAGGAAAAGUAAACUACAGUGCCAAGCAGUAGAUGCUUCAGUUGAAGCUUUUGUACGCAUGGCCUUUGACAGAUCAUUAGUCUUAGCUUUGCAGGGUGGAGGGACAAUGGACCAAGCAAUCUGUCAACUGCUCUCGGGACAGGCACCAAACCCCACAGAUGCUGCGAACCAAUCUGAGGCAAUUCCUGCAGUCAAUGCUAACAACAAUGGUCAAUCUGAUGUUGCAAUUGACAUUGCAAAUUCUCUUGCGUCAGUGCUUGAUAAUCAAAAUGGUCAAGUUGGAGGUUUUUCAACGUCUAGUAAUGCAUCAGAGCGUGAUUCAGAAGGGGAAAGCCAACUUGCUGAAGAACUAGCACAAGGAGAUGCUUUCACUGACUAUGAUAUUGAAGUUAAUAGACAAGGUGAAGUCAUAAGUGAGUACUUGGCUUAGCGGGAACAAAGUGAAUAUCACUCUGCCAAUAAGAAUUGCGACUUUAACAACCAUGCAUGUACAUGUAUAAUAACUAUAGGUCAAGGAUCUAGUUAUGGUGAUGGUGUUCCAGAUGAUCAAUGUCUUUGAUCCGGCAUUUUCCCGACUGUUCCAAGACUAAUAUUGGUGCCAUGUAGUUUAUCUAACCCGCCUUUCACCAUUUCUGGAAUUAUAAAAAAGCAUAUUUGCUGCUUUUAAGUAAA